GGCGUUGUGACGGAGUGGUUAUCGUGUAUGACUCGAAUUAUGACUCUUCUGAGCACAUCUGAUAGAUAUCAUAUGCCUUCGGGCGCGCAGGUUCGAAUCCUGCCAACGUCG